AUAAAUAAAUAGAAUCUUAAAAAGAAGGAGGAGAAGGAGGGGGAGGAAGAAGAAGAAAGAAGAAAGAAAGAAGAAGAAGUUGUUGUUGAAGUUGUUACUGGUAUCAAUGAACAGGGACAGGGGGGAAUCCUUUCUGGGGCAACGAAAAUAUCCAGGCUCCCAGGGCAGCAGUGCCCAUGGUGAUGUCCCGUGUCCAGGAGGAAGGUGGUAGCGGUGCGAGCUGGAGGGGAAGCACUGGGCAGCAGCUGCUGUGGUGUCCACAUCUCUCCCUUUCUGUGCUGUCACUGGGCCUGGGGCCUGGGGUGUGAUCCUGAGUUCCUGGGCCCUAUGUUUUCUGAGCCUGUUUCUCCAGCCUUCUCUGUGAUUCCAUGAGUUACUCGAUAGCCUUUCAACAAAUUCCUUUUCUGCUUAGAUCAGGCAGAGUUGGUUUCUGUUGCUUGCAACUGAGAACCCUGACUCUGUCCAACUACAACUGGUUUCAGUCAAUCGUUUGCAGAUGCUUCUUUUUUUUUUUUUUUUUUUUUUCUCACUGCCUGCAUUCUUCGUGUCUCUGCCCUCCUGGCAAUUCCACAAGUAAUCCAGAAAAGGAGGAAUAAGCAUGCAGAGAAUUUGACCGCAGCUGGGAAGUGAGCCAAGAGAACUCUGAAGAACGUGAAUAUUAGAUCUCUCAUUUUGUCAGGUGGGGUGGAUGCGGGAUUAAGGAGACAGAAGGCUGUGGGCUGUCCAUCAUAUUUUAUUUUGCAACCGAAUUUGGUUUUACAGUGAUUACCUGUGGCACUUAAAAAUCCCAUGAGGAUACGGACCAAGUCUGUCUUGUUUUCUCUAGUACCUAGGUCAUAUUGGAUACUUAGUAAAUAGUAGCAAAGGGGUGGUGAUGGAAGUCUCAGGAAGAGAAUUCAGGGAAGAGAAGCUUAAUAUAUCCUUAAUGCCUCUUUAAAAAAAGAAUUGUCUCAACUCUGUGGGAGCUGAAGAUUAAGGCCUGUGAGUCGAGCCAACACUGCAGAUAUUUGGUUGUGUUGACUGAAGAGCGGGAGCCUGGAGUUUUAGCCAUCAGACUGUCAAAGACACAGACAACACACUCCCAGGCAGGCAGAGCCUGACUUCGGUCUAGCCCAGACAGAAUGCCGGUCUGUUUCUUCUUUGGAAGGGGGCCCCAAGAGGGCCUGCAAAGCUGAACUGAGAUGGUUCUCCGAAAAGCAUUUUGAAUCAAUUUCAAAUGUGUUGACAGUACUUGGUUGAAACCCCAGAACUGAGUGGAAGGUGGGUAGAGUUAAUUUUGAAUCUCAAAAACCAAAGGCAGGUUUCCCUGUCAGCUACCUUAACUGUGUAAGAACCUCAGUCCAUCUGUUGUAGUAAGCUGGUUUUAAGUGACACUGACAUUUGGGUUUGUAUCCACAGGGUGCAUUUGCUGCAAACCCUGACUCUGAUUCUAACUCUUGUUUGUGGCAUUAACCAAUGAAACCUUACCUUAGGACAAGAAUCCUGUGUUCUUCUUCAAUAUGCCCUUCCGUCCAAGUACAAAGCUGGACACAGCAGGCACAGACAGCCUGCAGUAUGGCCGUGUUCCAGAAAGGCCUAGGCCAAGACUCCUCUAAGAACUUUCUCGAGCCAGGACCCUGGGCCAGCAGUGAUAAAGUUAGAAGAGGAAGAGCACUGGCAUCCUUUGAUCUGUAACCAGUUAUAGAACCUUCUGAACUGCUCUUAGUACUCAGGUUUGCUGUUGGAGCUGGACUUCCAAGGCCCCCACUUCGAGCCCAGGGAACAGGCGAGAGGACUGCAGGGAAAAGAGAGGGGGCAAGGAAAACAAGGAAAUCCCAGCAUGGGGAGCAGGGAGGAGAGAGGAUGGCAACGGACGUGGGAGCUCAGCUGCCAGCAAAAAUCUGAUGUGCUGCCUUGCUCCGACGACAGGAGGCAAGUCUUCCCAAAUCCAGGCGCCCCAACAUGAUUGUGAAAGCCACACCCAUGGGCCCACAGACAGCCAACACUGCUGUAGAACCUGUGAGAUGCCUUGGGAAGCUGCUCGAGUUUCUGGAGACAUCUCUCUAAAAGCUGCCCUUUGUCCCUGGUGGAUGCUUGGAACCCCAGUGAGAGGCGGCCUCAGAGUUGCCACCCAGAGCUGAAAAUCCACCCCCCCUUUUUUUAAGGCAAAGUUAAUUGCAGAAAUUUUG